rnacentral:tRNA from 1 species
GCCUGGCUGGCUCAGUCAGUACAGCAUGUGACUCUUGAUCUCGGGGUUGUGAGUUCGAGCCCCAUGUUGGGUG